rnacentral:rRNA from 1 species
CGGACGGGUGAGUAAUGUCUGGGAAACUGCCUGAUGGAGGGGGAUAGCUACUGGAAACGGUAGCUAAUACCGCAUAACGUCGCAAGACCAAAGAGGGGGACCUUCGGGCCUCUUGCCAUCGGAUGUGCCCAGAUGGGAUUAGCUAGUAGGUGGGGUAAAGGCUCACCUAGGCGACGAUCCCUAGCUGGUCUGAGAGGAUGACCAGCCACACUGGAACUGAGACACGGUCCAG